rnacentral:lncRNA from 1 species
CCUUUGAGAAAAGGAGAAUCGAAAAAAUAAUAUUUUCAUACAAUAUCUUAAUUGAAUUAUAUGUAAUGAUCAAUAAAUUAAGUUGAAUUCUAUAUCUACACAUACCAAAAACAUAGAAAAAUCCGAAUACCAAUCUAAUCGAUUCUAUAGAUAUUUGGGCUAGAGUUGACAAACAAACAAAACCAGCAAUAUACUUUAUUAGUAUCGCAUAGAAAUCUAAAUGGGGCGUGGCCAAGUGGUAAGGCAACGGGUUUUGGUCCCGCUAUUCGGAGGUUCGAAUCCUUCCGUCCCAGAACAUAUAUAUUCUCUGACAAUAUAGAUUGCUUUUUUAACAAUGUUCUGUUUAAAAUCGAAAUGUUAGCUGGAAUGUGAUUGUUGUUUCUGAUUUUUUUCUUCGAUGAAUCGUUUUUUUUUUUCAAAAACUGAAUCGAGAUACGAAAGAAUCCAUAUUCCCUAUCUCAUAUUCUCUACCCCCUAAAUUAGCCUAAUUAGAUUCAAUUUGCUUUUUUGUGGAUUUCUUGACUUUUCGCCAAGAAGGGGUUUUUGGUACUAAUUCAAUUCACUAAGUCUCUUAAUUCUUAAUCAAUGAGGUAGGCUAAAAUAGAAAAAAGGAGCAAAAACUGGACUUAAUCUGGGCUUGUUUGGCUUUGUGCCCAGCCAGCUCGCAUUUCGUAAAAAAAAAGACUAGGACAUCCCCUUCUUUUGAUUUAUGCUGCAUCAGUCCCAGAGAAUGGGGUAGAUAGGAGUUAAUCAGUGAUGGGAAGGCGUUCAUUUCAAUAUCUAUAAACGGUGACAAUUGCUCAGUCUAUUUGAUCGAAUUGAUAGAUACGAAACCCUCCCCAUUCUUUGGAUUUUAUUAAUCAGAUGAAAAAAAAAAAAAAAGACUUAUCUUUUUUCCUAAGAUGAUCAAAAGUUAUUUUUAACUAUCAAAUUUUCUUGGAAUAAUGAUGUCGAGAGGGGAACUUUCGAAAUUGAUUCGAAAUUUCGAAAGAGAAAUAGUUUAAAUCAUUCCUUAGAAGCUGAAUCUUUCUCUCCUAUUAAGUCACGUGAAGAUGCAGAAUUAAAAAGAAUUCGUUUAUUCGUCUUAUUUUAUUUAUAUAAAAAAAAUUUUUUAUUAUAUAUAUUUAUUAAUUAAUAUUAUAAUGUUAGACAAUUUAAUAUUAGCGAUGGGGUCUUACUAAGACUUCUUCAGAAAAAUAUUUAUCCACCCUAUAUCUAUAGUAUUAAUCUAUAGUAUUAUUUAUAUCUAUAUACUAUAGAUAUAGAAGAUAUAGAAAAUACUUUAGAUUAUGGUGUUUAUACAUCAGCCCAACCAAUGACUAUUCAUGAUUCCAUAAUUGAAUCAAUUCCAUACCGGUUCUUAGAGGAAUGUUAUGGUAAAACUUCGUUUGAAACGAUGUGGUAGAAAGCAACGUGCGACUUGAAGGACACGAUCCGUUGUGGAUUUGUACAUCCACCAUUUUUUGUAGGAAUGAAGGUGCUCUUAACUCGACAUCAUUGGUUCUGUUUCACUAGAACCCCUCGUUUUUUGUUGUCUUGGAAUGUAAAUAGUCCAUGAUGGAGCUCGAGUAGAAAGUAUUAAUUUCUUUCUCGGGGCAAGGGUCUAGGGUUAAUGCCAAUCAAUAAAACAAUUGAAACAACUUCGUAAAUAUAUCUAAUAUAUCUUAGGUAUGGAAAUCGAAAGAAUCCAAUUCGAGCAAGUUUCAAAUUAAAAAAUUUAUUGGAAUUGAUCAAACUUUUUCGAUCCAAAGUGUUUCACGAGGGAAUCCAUCAUCUUGUAGGAUUCUUUCAUAAAAAUCGCAAAAAGGGUAUGUUGCUGCCAUUUUGAAAGGAUUAAAAAGCACCGAAGUAAUGUCUAAACCCAAUGAUUUAAAAUAAAACAAAGAUAAAGGAUCCCAGAACAAGGAAACACCUUUUUAAUUGUCUUAAUAACUGGAUCAGACUGAAGAAUCCGAUUUUAAACGAGACAAACAAAAAAGGAGGAAAGACCGCUCAAUAAAUGAAAUUGCCGAAAGAUUUUCCUUUGAACUGUUUGAAAGUUAUCCAACUUGAGUUAUGAGAGUACGAAUGGUUUAUUUUUCAUUUUAAGGAAGAACGAAGAAAAAAAGACUUAGAUCUUUAAUUGCUUUGAUCAUUUUAUGGAUCCAGUUGUCAUUUCUUAGAUAGAAUUCCAUACAAAGACAAAACUUCGAAUCAAUCAUUUUUCUCGAGCCGUACGAGGAGAAAGCUUCCUAUACGUUUCUAGGGGGGGUGUUGUUCAUCUACAUCUAUCCCAAUGAGCCGUCUAUCGAAUCGUUGCAAUUGAUGUUCGAUCCCGAAGAGAAGGAAAAGAUCUUCAGAAAGUGGGUUUUUAUGAUCCGAUAAAGAAUCAAACUUAUUUAAAUGUUCCUGCUAUUUUAUAUUUCCUUGAAAAAGGGGCUCAACCUACAGAAACUGUUCAGGAUAUUUUAAAGAAGGCAGAGGUUUUUAAGGAACUUCGUCUUAAUCAACCGAAAUUCAA